rnacentral:lncRNA from 1 species
CAGCGGCCUGAGGCCCCUGAGCCUUGGGCUCAGCCCUGCUCCUCCAUUCCUUCCCACCCCUCUCAGCUAAGACCCACCAGAAGUCCGAGGUCAGGGUGCCCAGCCUGUCCUUCAUGAAGGCGGCCGACAUCUUUCACCGUCUGGUGAGCAAGCUGCUCCUGCCCUCUCUCUACAGCAGGCUUGGGCAUUAGGUUCUGCCCUGUAUGUCCACUGGCAGGAGCCCCCAAUGGUCCCUGGGUGGUGGCCCAGCCCUGUGCCUCCUACUGGCACCUCCCUGGCUCCUGUCCUGAGAGGUACAGGUGCUUGCCAGGCCGGGCCCCUCGGACUGCAGCCAAGCCAGCCUCUGACCCCUGCCUCCUCCAGGGACCCCUGCCCGUGUUCUCAGCCAAGAAUCGGUGGCAACUGGUGGGGCCCAUCCACCUGACCCGGGGAGAGGGCGGCUUCGGCUUCACGCUUCGGGGAGACUCCCCCGUCCUUAUUGCUGCUGUGGUCCCUGGCGGGCAAGCUGCGGUAAGGGCCCGCUGGCCUUGGAGGCUGAGUCCCCAGGACUCCAGCCAGACCUGCUCUUGCUCCUCACUGGUCUGUGUCCCCAACAGGCGGCUGGCCUCCAGCAGGGUGACUACAUCGUGUCCCUGAACGGGCAGCCCUGCAAGUGGUGGAGGCACGCGGACGUCGUGGCGCAGCUGAGGGAGGCGGGCGCAGCGGGCGUGAGUCUGCAGGUGGCUUCACUGCUGCCCAGACAUGAGCCACGCAGCACAGUGAGUCCUGGGGCCUGGGCCUGGACCUCCCUGGUGCUCAUGAGGCCUCUGAAAGAGGAGCGGUGGGCAGUGGCCCUCACUGGGGUGGCCUUCUGACGAGUGGCCACCUGUGCUGCUGCAUCACCUGGUGGCUGGCCUCCCCCCCAGAAAGGCCCCCCACCUCAGCAGGAUCCGAGGCUUCCAGCUGGGUUCCUCCAGAGGUCACGUCCACCUGGUGGGUCCACCCAAGGACUGGGUGACGAGCAGCAAGGGGAACAGAGCCCCUGGACAUGCCCCCAGCACGCCUGCCUCCUCCCUGGCUCACUACAGGCCACCCAGGUGGUAGCUGACCACAUCCUUCUCUGUCCUGGCUGCAGGGGGACCGCCAGCCAGCUCUGCUGGGCCCAGGGAGGCUUCCGAGGAGCCAGAGAGCGUGCGGUUUCGAGAUGCCAGCACCCACCCGUGCCAGUCCCCAGCCCCUCCUUGUCUGGAGCCGCAGGGCCAAGCAGAGCAAGCCCGGGGGCCGCCCCCCACCCUGCACUGGUGGGGACUGUGGCACCUGUCCCUGAGUCAGCCAUGGUCCCUGCACCCUCCAAGUGCCCAGCGUGUCUCUGAGGACUGGAAGCAGCCCAAGCAUUCUGUUUCUCACCCUCAGGGACCUUCAGGCUGGGCCUGCCCUGCUCGGGGCCAGAGCUGCCCAUUAAAGACUCUGGUUAGACAAGCCAGAUCAGAGCCCAGUGCUGGGGCCACGGCCACCUCACCAAGAGGAAGCACCCCCUGCCCUUUGGGCACAGUGCUCAUACAGCCACUCUCCGAGGAGGACAGUGGGGGUGGGGUGAGGGGUCUCUCCCUGAGAGAUGCUGUAGGCUCUGGGUGGGGCUUUACUCUGCAGCACGCCCCUGGCCCCAUGUAAUCCUGUCCACAUGCUCAGAGCCCUGUCCACCUUGCUGCUGCCCUGGCUGCAGCCUCGCUUCAGCUGCCCUGGGCUCCAAACCUCCACCCAGCCCUCCAAAGGCCAAGCUUCUGCCUCAUGUGUGGUUCUGCUCUGGGAACCCCUGGACUGUCCUCACCCCAGCUGGACAAAGCUAGGCCCCCUUGCUGAUUAGCUGCUCUCCGAAUAGGGUCCCAGCAAAGGCCGGUUGUUCUCCGGCCCUUGUCUGCCGCCCAGGAAGCACUGGCAAAGAGACUGAGCCCCCUGGUAGCCUGCACUUGCUGUCUCUGUGUCCAGCCCCACCUGCCCGCCAGGGCCCUGGCAGCCCUCGGAUGUGCCUCCACGGGCAGGAGCAGUGAUCCCCAGGUCCCUUGGAGGGGUGGGCUCAGGACCUGGGCCCCAAAUGGAUGAGGUGAGAAGGGGAGCACGGGCCACAGGCCAAGCCGUACCAGACAGAGGCCACAAGGGGCCCUUCCACCAAGGGCCGGGGGGGUUGAGGACAGGACCCUGGUCACUGGUGUUACUCCCCAAGGCCACCAGGGGGCAGCCGCCACCCACUGACAGCCACAGGAGGGGAGAGUAUGAGGCAGCAGAUCAAGGAAGGCAGAGCAGUCCACUCUGCACUCUGGCCCUGGUUCCAUGGUCCUGGGCCUGCUGUCCAUUACCCCUGCACACCACCCGUCAGCACUGACGGCCAGGUCCCAAGUGGGGGUGGUUCAUGUGUGUGUGUAGGCAUGGGGGGUAAGUGUGUGUUUGGAAGCCCUGAGCACAGAGGCGCCCUCUUCCAAAGCAGAAGGGCAGGACUCCCGGGCCUGCGGGAGUUGGGGGUGGGAGUCCCAGGGUGUCCUGCCACCACAGCCCACCUGGGAGAAUCCCCGUCAGCAGAACAGGCUAAGGUCACGCAGGAGGUCUCAGCACGUGUUAAGUCGAUUAAUAAAAUCAUGCUUCAAGAAGGUCAUUA